rnacentral:rRNA from 1 species
GACGAACGCUGGCGGCGUGCUUAACACAUGCAAGUCGAACGAAGAGCGAUGGAAGCUUGCUUCUAUCAAUCUUAGUGGCGAACGGGUGAGUAACGCGUAAUCAACCUGCCCUUCAGAGGGGGACAACAGUUGGAAACGACUGCUAAUACCGCAUACGAUCUAAUCUCGGCAUCGAGGAUAGAUGAAAGGUGGCCUCUACAUGUAAGCUAUCACUGAAGGAGGGGACUGCGUCUGAUUAGCUAGUUGGAGGGGUAACGGCCCACCAAGGCGAUGAUCAGUAGCCGGUCUGAGAGGAUGAACGGCCACAUUGGGACUGAGACACGGCCCAGACUCCUACGGGAGGCAGCAGUGGGGAAUCUUCCGCAAUGGACGAAAGUCUGACGGAGCAACGCCGCGUGAGUGAUGACGGCCUUCGGGUUGUAAAGCUCUGUUAAUCGGGACGAAAGGCCUUCUUGCGAAUAGGGAGAAGGAUUGACGGUACCGGAAUAGAAAGCCACGGCUAACUACGUG